rnacentral:rRNA from 1 species
GAUGAACGCUGGCGUCGUGCCUAAUACAUGCAAGUCGAGCGAAGCGGGGACGGGUGCGUACCACGUGGAUAACCUCCUAUAAGACUGGUAUAAAUUCGGGAAACCGUAGCUACACCUGAUACUUAUAGCUGGAUCCGCGCUGCAUUAGCUAGUUGGUAAGGUAACGGCUUACCAAGGCAACGAUGCAUAGCCGACCUGAGAGGGUGAUCGGUCACACUGGAACUGAGACACGGUCCAGACUCCUACGGGAGGCAGCAGUAGGGAAUCUGCCGAAAUGGGCGAAAGCCUGACGGAGCAACGCCGCGUGAGUGAUGAAGGUCUUCGGAUCGUAAAACUCUGUUAUUAGGGAAGCGGUACCUAAUCAGAAAGCCACGGCUAACUACGUGCCAGCAGCCGCGGUAAUAC